AGUUAUCAGAAGAGAUAUUCUCUGCAUUCAUAACAAGAAACUUCUAUUACUGAACAUAAUAGGAACAGAAUGAAGUACAGCAUGUUUAUGUCUUUAGUGUGUUUAUUGUCACUGACGGUGUCUGGAUCAUUUACCUUACCAAGCAGUCUAUUGCAGAAAAUAGCAGAUUCAGGGUCCUUGAAGAUUGCUGAUAAAAGAGUUCAGCAAAAGAUGAACUUUGGUCGACAAAAUGGAGAUGGAAAGUCUUUUAAUCAACUGGUAUCUUACUUAUAUAAUAUUGGUAAAAAGUAAAUUUGUUUUGAGUUUUGAAAGAUAAAAUUUGUUAUGUCGUU